GUCCAACCGAAGAGUCUCAAAUAAGACGAAACACAUGUCGCGGAU
rnacentral:hammerhead_ribozyme from 1 species